rnacentral:lncRNA from 1 species
CUCUCUUAGAAGCUGUCAUGGUUGGGUGAAUGCUGUAUAUCUCUAAAUUCGACAGAAGCUUGUACCUCCUAAGGGUAUAAUUAUUUUUGCCUCAUCUUCGAACUUCAUUAGGCUAUCAAGCCUACAGCUUUAAUUGGAACAUCUGGUGUUGGAAAAACAUUUACAAAGGAAGUGGUUGAGGCUAUGGCUACUUCCAAUAAGGUUCUCUCUCUCUCUCUCUCUCUCUCUCUCUCUCUCUCUCAUGAUGUUUUACACGGAUUAAUAUAAUCACCGUUCAAACGAUACACAGCAACCUCUUAUUAUGACUCUUUCCAAUCCAACCUCUCAAGCUGAGUGCACUGCUGAAGAAGCUUACACAUGGACUAAGGUCAGAUGAGUAUUAAGAUUUCCUAGAGAUGGCUAUUAUGUUAAUAUACCAUCAUAAUUUUAAUCUCUGUACUAAAAUUAACUUCACCUUUUAUUUCCAUCUUGUUUCAAUAAAGGGUCAUGCAAUUUUCGCAAGCAGAAGUCCAUUCGACCCUGUAUAAUACAAUGGCAAAACUGAUGUUCCUGGCCAGGUAACAUAUAUGUUCGACUUUGAUUUGUGCAAUUCAACUGUCUUAAACUGUGGAGGAUUAUAGAUUGAGAAUCGUUCUCUGUGUAAAUUCAGUCUAACAAUGCAUAUAUAUUUCUUGGACUUGGUUCUGGUUUGGUCAUCUCUAUUGCUAUUUGCAUGCACGAUGAUAUGCUCCUGGUAGCUUGUAAGUAUACAACCGACUGGAUAGUUUCUUGUCGUGAAUUAUCUUAUUUCUUUGAGUAACGAGUACUGUUAUUACAGGUUUAGUACAUAUAACUGCCCUUUUUUGGUAUCUAAUCCAGUGCUAAUCCCUUUAUCGUUGUCUGAAUCUUUUCAUAACAGCAGAAGCUUUGGCUGGUCAAGCAACACAAGAACAUUAUGACAAGGGAAUGAUUUAUACCCUCCAUUUUCUAACAUAAGAAAGAUCUCAGCUCAUAUUGCUGCUACUAAAGCAUAUGAACACGGUAAAUGCCCCCACCCCUCCCCACCCCCCUUUCUUNUUAUGACAAGGGAAUGAUUUAUACCCUCCAUUUUCUAACAUAAGAAAGAUCUCAGCUCAUAUUGCUGCUACUAAAGCAUAUGAACACGGUAAAUGCCCCCCCCCCCCCCCCCUUCUUUUUUUCUUUUCUUUUCUUUUUUUUUUCUUUUCUUUUUUUGCUUUAUUUCAGUUGCCAGUUUGGCAACGAGACUCCCUCGACCUGCAUAUUUGGUCGAGUAUGUUGAAAGCUGCAUGUACACUCCAACUUACAGAACCUAUCGGUGAAUCUUGGUCGAUUAUGGAUCGAUGACCACUUCGUACCCUGCUCACCUGCUGGUUUCCGAGUUUAUAAGCGUGCCUUUGUAUUUAUUGUGAGCUGAUGCCGUGUAUUAAGUUCAAGUCUUUUUAAGUGACAAAUAUUAUGAGUCUCCAAUAAUAUACGCUACCUGAGGUUACAAGAAUUGAGUAUUCUUGUAUCUCAUCUCCUUAAAUAUUCUUCUCUUUUGUGUACUAAAGACAAAACACUAUUGGCAUGUUCGCUAUGAGGAUAGUUUCAUCUAUGCAAGAGCGAAAAUGAUGCAAUUGAAGAUUGAUGUACUUGGGAGAAUUUUCCGUUGAUUGGCAUGUUGGCAAGCAUUCAAAAAUGCAAUCAUGAGUAGGUUUCACAAAAUAAACAAUCUGCCAAGAAGAAGCAGGACUCGUGUUACUCUUCGCCUUUGUCCCAUGGAAAGAUAACGAACAUCUUGAAAAUAUUAAAAGUUAUUAUUGGCGUCUCCUUUUAAGAACAAUGAAUUGGGUGCCAUGUUAAAGGAUGGUUGAUGACUGAAAUUUCACUCAUUAGAUUAAUGUCAUUAAGCUUAAUAUUUCGUCAUGUCUUGUGAGUUUUGGAUGUCUUUAAUAUAUGGGUUUGAAUUUUUGUUAUAGAUUGACGGAGGUGAUGAAAAGAAGGGAAAAGAAGCUAAAUGAAAGAAGACAAAUAAAGGGGGGGAGGAACAGGGCAGCAGUGAUCAGGGCGCUGCGGUGCCCGAUCAAAAUUACCAGAAGAGAAGUAGAACCAUGGGAGUCUGCUUUCAAAACUACUGCAAUUAAUUUAGGGGAAAAAUUCAUUUCUAA